GUAGGUGGCAAGCGUUGUCCGGAAUUAUUGGGCGUAAAGCGCGCGCAGGCGGUUCUUUAAGUCUGAUGUGAAAGCCCUCGGCUCAACCGUGGAGGGUCAUUGGAAACUGGAGAACUUGAGUACAGAAGAGGAAAGCGGAAUUCCACGUGUAGCGGUGAAAUGCGUAGAGAUGUGGAGGAACACCAGUGGCGAAGGCGGCUUUCUGGUCUGUAACUGACGCUGAGGCGCGAAAGCGUGGGGAGCAAACAGGGAUUAGAUACCCUGGUAGUCCACGCCGUAAACGAUGAGUGCUAAGUGUUAGGGGGUUUCCGCCCCCUUAGUGCUGCAGCUAACGCAUUAAGCACUCCGCCUGGGGAGUACGGCCGCAAGGCUG
rnacentral:rRNA from 1 species